AAUAGAUACCCAGGUAGUCCACGCCGUAAACGAUGGAUACUAGCUGUUUGGUAGUAAUACUGAGUGGCUAAGCGAAAGUGAUAAGUAUCCCACCUGGGGAGUACGAACGCAAGUUUGAAACUCAAAGGAAUUGACGGGGGCCCGCACAAGCGGUGGAGCAUGUGGUUUAAUUCGAUGAUACGCGAGGAACCUUACCAGGGCUUAAAUGUAGUUUGACGUAUUUGGAAACAGAUAUUUCUUCGGACAAAUUACAAGGUGCUGCAUGGUUGUCGUCAGCUCGUGCCGUGAGGUGUCAGGUUAAGUCCUAUAACGAGCGCAACCCCUGUUGUUAGUUGCCAGCGAGUAAUGUCGGGAACUCUAACAAGACUGCCAGUGUAAACUGCGAGGAAGGUGGGGAUGACGUCAAAUCAUCACGGCCCUUACGUCCUGGGCCACACACGUGCUACAAUGGACGGUACAGAGAGCAGCCACUUAGCAAUAAGGAGCGAAUCUAUAAAAACCGUUCUCAGUUCGGAUCGGAGUCUGCAACUCGACUCCGU
rnacentral:rRNA from 1 species